rnacentral:rRNA from 1 species
GACGAACGCUGGCGGCGUGCCUAAUACAUGCAAGUAGAACGCUGAAGGAGGAGCUUGCUUCUCUGGAUGAGUUGCGAACGGGUGAGUAACGCGUAGGUAACCUGCCUGGUAGCGGGGGAUAACUAUUGGAAACGAUAGCUAAUACCGCAUAAGAGUAGAUGUUGCAUGACAUUUGCUUAAAAGGUGCAAUUGCAUCACUACCAGAUGGACCUGCGUUGUAUUAGCUAGUUGGUGGGGUAACGGCUCACCAAGGCGACGAUACAUAGCCGACCUGAGAGGGGGAUCGGCCACACUGGGACUGAGACACGGCCCAGACUCCUACGGGAGGCAGCAGUAGGGAAUCUUCGGCAAUGGACGGAAGUCUGACCGAGCAACGCCGCGUGAGUGAAGAAGGUUUUCGGAUCGUAAAGCUCUGUUGUAAGAGAAGAACGAGUGUGAGAGUGGAAAGUUCACACUGUGACGGUAUCUUACCAGAAAGGGUCGGCUAACUACGUG